AACGAACGCUGGCGGCAUGCCUAACACAUGCAAGUCGAACGAGACCUUCGGGUCUAGUGGCGCACGGGUGCGUAACGCGUGGGAACCUGCCCUUAGGUUCGGAAUAACUCCCCGAAAGGGGUGCUAAUACCGGAUAAUGUCUUCGGACCAAAGAUUUAUCGCCUUUGGAUGGGCCCGCGUUGGAUUAGCUAGUUGGUAGGGUAAAAGCCUCCCAAGGCGACGAGCCAUAGCUGGUUUGUGAGGAUGAUCAGCCACACUGGGACUGAGACACGGCCCAGACUCCUACGGGAGGCAGCAGUGGGGAAUAUUGGACAAUGGGCGAAAGCAUGAUCCAGCAAGGCCGGGUGAGUGAUGAAGGCCUUAGGGUUGUAAAGCUCUUUUACCCGGGAUGAUAAUGACAGUACCGGGAGAAUAAGCUCCGGCUAACUCCGUG
rnacentral:rRNA from 1 species